rnacentral:rRNA from 1 species
UGGGGAAUAUUGGACAAUGGGCGCAAGCCUGAUCCAGCCAUGCCGCGUGAGUGAUGAAGGCCCUAGGGUUGUAAAGCUCUUUCACCGGUGAAGAUAAUGACGGUAACCGGAGAAGAAGCCCCGGCUAACUUCGUGCCAGCAGCCGCGGUAAUACGAAGGGGGCUAGCGUUGUUCGGAUUUACUGGGCGUAAAGCGCACGUAGGCGGACUUUUAAGUCAGGGGUGAAAUCCCGGGGCUCAACCCCGGAACUGCCUUUGAUACUGGAAGUCUUGAGUAUGGUAGAGGUGAGUGGAAUUCCGAGUGUAGAGGUGAAAUUCGUAGAUAUUCGGGGGAACACCAGUGGCGAAGGCGGCUCACUGGACCAUUACUGACGCUGAGGUGCGAGAGCGUGGGGAGCAAACAGG